rnacentral:rRNA from 1 species
AACGAACGCUGGCGGCAGGCUUAACACAUGCAAGUCGAACGCCGUAGCAAUACGGAGUGGCAGACGGGUGAGUAACACGUGGGAACGUGCCCAAAGGUACGGAACAACUCCGGGAAACUGGAGCUAAUACCGUAUGUGCCCGAAAGGGGACAGAUUUAUCGCCUUUGGAUCGGCCCGCGUCUGAUUAGCUAGUUGGUGAGGUAAUGGCUCACCAAGGCGACGAUCAGUAGCUGGUCUGAGAGGAUGGCCAGCCACACUGGGACUGAGACACGGCCCAGACUCCUACGGGAGGCAGCAGUGGGGAAUAUUGGGCAAUGGGCGCAAGCCUGACCCAGCCAUGCCGCGUGAGUGAUGAAGGCCUUAGGGUUGUAAAGCUCUUUCGCCGAGGACGAUAAUGACGGUACUCGGAUAAGAAGCCCCGGCUAACUUCGUGCCAGCAGCCGCGGUAAAAC